CACCCUACCACCCCCGCAGAUGCAGUUUGGGGACAUUUUCUUUCCUAGUUUGUGCCUUUGCAGUAAAUUGCUACAGUGCAGUGAUGGAUGGUGAGGAAACUGGGUUGCUGCUGCUGUUUGGUGCUCCUCUCCACGAGGGCAUCCUGUGCUGCUGAACAUGAGGUGCGAGGGUCGCCCCCUUUCCUCUUUAACUACUGGGUUUGGACCGGCUUUAGCAGCACUCUGGCAUUAUCAGGUGAACUUUGACCCCACUUCUUUGUUCGCUCUGGAGAAAGGUUUCCUGUUCUCUCCUUUUGUGUUUUUUAUUUUCUUCUUUUGUUUUGAGAUUUCAGACUGAGAGCUUCUUCUCUCCCUGAGACAGAAACUAUAAAACAGAAAA